GACAGUGGGUGCAAACGUUGUUCGGAAUUACUGGGCGUAAAGCGCGUGUAGGCGGCUUUGCGAGUCGGGCGUGAAAUCCCAUGGCUCAACCAUGGAAGUGCACUCGAAACUGCAGAGCUAGAGUCCUGGAGAGGAAGGUGGAAUGCUUGGUGUAGAGGUGAAAUUCGUAGAUAUCAAGCGGAACACCGGUGGCGAAGGCGGCCUUCUGGACAGUGACUGACGCUGAGACGCGAAAGCGUGGGGAGCAAACAGG
rnacentral:rRNA from 1 species